GUGCCCAGCGUAUGUCUAUAGCGGUCGUCAUGUUAUAGAACAGCGCGUGCUUUACAGCGACUGCGAAGAGCUCUUCGAAGGUCGUGGCGGCGGUCCAGAAUGGGAGGCGAAUUCCAGACGCACGCAGGGUCUCGCAUAUAUUAGACGGAUCGACAGUCUUCUUUUUUUAUGUAAGCAAACUCCUAUGACGUCGUUGGUUUUGGAAUGUUUCACCAUAAGAUAUGUCAGGCGAGAGUGCGCGUAAAAA